CAAAAUAAAGCUAAAGAUUAGUGUUUCAGUUACGUUGAAGAGGUUGUCGUGGUAUCGAUUUAUUUUGA
rnacentral:tRNA from 1 species